ensembl:lncRNA
AGUGAGUCGACUUACAGAGCUGGUGAAAGCAUUUUUUCUUUGCUGAUCUGUAGCCCAAGGAUUCAAAAAUCCUUCAUCGCCUCAUCACAAACGUCUUUCCUUAUCUGUUGCUGAAGAACCUGCAGUAGAUGGACUCCCUGUCUUGCUGAUUUCCCAGAAAAGGUACAAAAUCUUCCCCCAUCUUGCUCUCCUAAAUACACCAUUGUAUGAUCUAAGUGGACAAACCCGUGUUUGAGAUAUUAUGGAAUCUUCCUAUGAGGAGAAGUUCAUGACAGAGACAGAGACUGUAGAGGUCCAGAAGCUGGGCUGGAUUCCAAAGGGAGACAGGAAGUCAUCUUUCAUCUAUGCAUGAAGACAGGAAUCCAGGAAGGCGAGAAGUUGGUGAGAGGAAAAACAAGAGGUAGAAUGGGAUGUGGGGAGCCGCAAGACCCACCUAAAAAGGUUGUGACCACUACAGUUGGAAAUAUGAUGAGAAAUUUGAACUAAUUUCCUACAGUCUAACUCACAUGUGAAAUCUGAGGCAAAGAUUAGUGCACGCUGUAGGAAGGAGUGAUAUGUAAAGUUUUCAGCACACUUUUGCACAGUCACCACAGUGAAUGAGUACUUACAACAUCCUUGCCUGUGUCAUAGUUCAGCUUUUAGGGACACAAUUGUCAGAAAGGGACAUGAAUAUUUGAGUACCAUCUCUCACUGCUGCUCUGCUCUUGUGAUCUAUAAAUAAGGAGAACUUUAACCUUUUGUAAUCUCAAUGAUAAGCUGUUUGUUGGAGCAGCUAUGUGUCAGGCCCUACCUGAUUCAGAAAUGACAACUAAGGAGCAAGCAGACUAUACUUCAUGUAAAAUCCAAUUGUAAUGCCAUCAUUAUAAGGGAGGCUUGAGAGCUCUGUUGUCUUUUCAGUAGCUGUCAUUUCAUCUGUCAAGGGCUUCAUCUGUAUUCAGAGCACAUCCCUUUAUUUCCUUAUAAUGACUAAUGAUGAUUCACAUUUUUCCUUUCCUCUCUCUUAGAUUCUAACAAUGCAUGUUUUUGUACCUGCUGUCUUAAAUUCUUUUUGUCACUGUUAAGGGAAAAUGCUAAAGCAAGCAGACUUGAAUCUUAUAUAUAUUCUUCACAUUCCUGAGGGUCUUCAAUAGCUCCUCAGGAUUCUUCAGUUUUUUCAUACUGGCCCUUACAAUUUCAGUGAUUCUAGUCUUUCAGAUUAUAAUUGCUGUUUUCAUUGCUGUAGUUAGACAUCUACUUGGAAGCUGCUGGGGAAAUGUGCCAGGGAAGAGUGAGCUGCACCUCUUCCCUUCCUUGAAUCCAGAUGAACAGAUCCUUCUCAACACUUCUGGUCCUGAAGUGUUCCGGCUAUUCUUUAACCCUGACCUCUUGCUUUGCAGUAGCUAGAGCUGAAGCGAAAUCACUGAGGAGACAGUGUACAUACGCCUUUUUUUUUUUUUUUAACAGCUACCAAAUUUUUAAAUCCUGAAGCAACUUUCUAUUUCGUGCUUGUCAGCUUUACACGGAACUUGUGUUUCUGUGUUUUUAUAUUUCUACGGGGUGAGGUGGACUGCAGCUUCUGAUGGUUAUUACAAAUGACUUAAAGCUUUUUUUUUUUUCUAGAAAGGCAACUGGUACUGUCUGCUUUCUCUGCCUUCGUUAUAGAGACUGAAUUUAGUGCUUAUUUUUAACUUCAUUGCCUUUUCUGAAACUAUUUAAGACACUCCAUUCUUUUUUUUUUUGCAAUCUGCAGGGAGGAGGCAUCUAGUAUACUCUUUGUAUAUUUCCGAAGCUAAUUUUCUUUAUUCUGAGGCUGUGGCUUUGAUUUUAUUUCAGGGUGUAGCUGUUUUCCUCAGACAGGAAAAACUCACUUUAAGAUGCUACACUGUUUGGAGAAAAUACCAGAAAUGCUUAUGGAAGGCUGCUCUAAAAAAGAAAAGCUAUGUAAGCAUAUCAGUGAUUGUAUUCAGAGCCUGGAUAAUUCUAAUGUAUACAGUAAGUAGAUUAAUGAGCAUGAAUAGAAAAGAGAGGGUAUAUAGAUUGAGGGAAAAGCAGUGUUUUUAAUGAAUGAUUUGUAUUCAACUGAUUUGUAGAAAUGCAUUGAUUACAUAUUACUUCAGAAUCUAGGUCUGUGAAAGAAUAAAGCUUAUGCUGCCGGCACCGUGUGAUGUCAGCACUACUGCAGACUUG